UACGUAGGGUGCAAGCGUUGUCCGGAAUUAUUGGGCGUAAAGAGCGUGUAGGCGGCUCGGUUAGUCCGCUGUGAAAGUCCAGGGCUCAACCCUGGAAUGCCGGUGGAUACUGUCGAGCUAGAGUCCGGAAGGGGCGAGUGGAAUUCCUGGUGUAGCGGUGAAAUGCGCAGAUAUCAGGAGGAACACCGGUGGCGAAGGCGGUUCUCUGGGCCUUACCUGACGCUGAGGAGCGAAAGCGUGGGGAGCGAACAGG
rnacentral:rRNA from 1 species